rnacentral:rRNA from 1 species
AUUGAACGCUGGCGGCGUGCCUAACACAUGCAAGUCGAGCGGUAGCAGGCGUAGCAAUACGUGCUGACGAGCGGCGAACGGGUGAGCAAUGCUUCGGAAUCUGCCCAAUGGUGGGGAAUAACCAGCCGAAAGGUUGGCUAAUACCGCAUACGCCCUACGGGGAAAGCAGGGGAUCGCAAGACCUUGCGCCGAUGGAUGAGCCGAAGUCGGAUUAGCUAGUUGGUAGGGUAACGGCCUACCAAGGCGACGAUCCGUAGCUGGUCUGAGAGGACGACCAGCCACACUGGGACUGAGACACGGCCCAGACUCCUACGGGAGGCAGCAGUGGGGAAUAUUGGACAAUGGGCGAAAGCCUGAUCCAGCGACGCCGCGUGUGUGAAGAAGGCCUGCGGGUUGUAAAGCACUUUUAGUGGGAUGAAAAGCCUAGAGCUAAUACCUCUGGGUCUUGACCUAACCCACAGAAAAAGCACCGGCUAACUCUGUGCCAGCAC